AUUGAACGCUGGCGGCAGGCCUAACACAUGCAAGUCGAACGGUAGCACAGAGAGCUUGCUCUCGGGUGACGAGUGGCGGCCGGGUGAGUAACGUCUGGGAAACUGCCCGAUGGAGGGGGAUAACUACUGGAGACGGUAGCUAAUACCGCAUAACGUCGCAAGACCAAAGUGGGGGACCUUCGGGCCUCACACCAUCGGAUGCGCCCAGAUGGGAUUAGCUAGUAGGUGGGGUAAUGGCUCACCUAGGCGACGAUCCCUAGCUGGUCUGAGAGGAUGACCAGCCACACUGGAACUGGGACACGGUCCAGACUCCUACGGGAGGCAGCAGUGGGGAAUAUUGCACAAUGGGCGCAAGCCUGAUGCAGCCAUGCCGCGUGUAUGAAGAAGGCCUUCGGGUUGUAAAGUACUUUCAGCGGGGAGGAAGGCGGUGAAGUUAAUAGCUUCACCGAUUGACGUUACCCGCAGAAGAAGCACCGGCUAACUCCGUGCCAGCCGCCGCAGUAA
rnacentral:rRNA from 1 species